rnacentral:rRNA from 1 species
GACGAACGCUGGCGGCGUGCUUAACACAUGCAAGUCGAACGGUGAAGCGCCUUCCUUUUUGGUGGGUGUGGAUGAGUGGCGAACGGGUGAGUAACACGUGAGUAACCUGCCCCCUUCUUCUGGAUAACCGCAUGAAAGUGUGGCUAAUACGGGAUAUUCUGGGUCUGUCGCAUGAUGGGUCUGGGAAAGAUAUUGUUUCGGUGGGGGAUGGGCUCGCGGCCUAUCAGCUUGUUGGUGGGGUGAUGGCCUACCAAGGCGGUGACGGGUAGCCGGCCUGAGAGGGUGGACGGUCACACGGGGACUGAGACACGGCCCAGACUCAUACGGGAGGCAGCAGUGGGGAAUAUUGCACAAUGGGCGCAAGCCUGAUGCAGCGACGCCGCGUGAGGGAUGGAGGCCUUCGGGUUGUGAACCUCUUUCGCCAGUGAAGCAGGCCUGCCUCGUUUGUGGGUGGGUUGACGGUAGCUGGAUAAGAAGCGCCGGCUAACUACGUG